AAUCAACGCUGGCGGCGUGCCUCAGACAUGCAAGUCGAACGCGAAAGUCCCCUUCGGGGGGCGAGUAGAGUGGCGCACGGGUGAGUAACACGUAGGUAAUCUACCUUUGGAUUGGGAAUAACCACCGGAAACGGUGGCUAAUACCGAAUAAUGCAGCGGCACCUAAUGGUGACAGUUGUUAAAGCGGGGGAUCGCAAGACCUCGCGUCUGAAGAGGAGCCUGCGGCAGAUUAGCUAGUUGGUAAGGUAACGGCUUACCAAGGCGAUGAUCUGUAGCCGGCCUGAGAGGGCGGUCGACCACACUGACACUGACAUACGGGUCAGACUCCCUACGGGAGGCAGCAGUCGGGAAUUUUGGGCAAUGGGCGAAAGCCCGACCCAGCAACGCCGCGUGAAGGAUGAAAUCCCUCGGGAUGUAAACUUCGCAAGAACGGGAAGAAUAAGUAAGAGUUAAUAUCUCUUACGAUGACGGUACUGUUUGUAAGCG
rnacentral:rRNA from 1 species